GUCGGGCGGGGUCUGGCUGGAGUUUUUCAAGCGCCUAAAGCAUGUCCGGCCGCGGGAAGCAGGGAGGCAAAGUCCGGGCUAAGGCCAAGUCGCGCUCGUCGCGGGCCGGGCUGCAGUUCCCCGUCGGCCGAGUGCACCGGCUCCUCCGGAAAGGCAACUACGCGGAACGGGUGGGGGCUGGAGCGCCCGUCUACAUGGCGGCCGUGCUGGAGUACCUGACGGCCGAGAUCCUGGAGCUGGCGGGCAACGCGGCCCGCGACAACAAGAAGACGCGCAUCAUCCCCCGGCACCUGCAGCUGGCCAUCCGCAACGACGAGGAGCUCAACAAGCUGCUGGGCAAGGAUUGGUAAAAUGCUCGUUCUUGUUGUUGAAUCUGCUCAUCUUUUAUCACUACAGACUACUUAUGCCACUGGUGGUUUCACCGGCUGUGAACCCUGUGCUGCCAUCACACUGAUGAGGCCUCAGAUGGAAAUGGAAAUGUCCUGCAAGUCAGAUGGAUUACAUGAUAAGAGUGCUGGCAAAUCUACUGGUAUUAAAGACUCGUGGCUUUCAAGCAAAUUCCGCUGGAUGAAGGAAUGUAGCAAAGCGAGUUUAAAUAAAUGAGCUUUCUUUCAGUUGCCUAUACAACAAACAGUAGCAAAGAAGAAAUACAUGUGGUGCCUCAGCUGUAUCACUGGGUUCCAAUACACCUUCACAUUCUAAAGAACUUGUAAUGCAAAAAUACCUCCAACCAAGCUCCCUCAAAUGUUACAGAUCACAGUUAUAUAUAGGGAUAACUCAGUGAUGUCAGUCCAUAUACC